ensembl:snoRNA U3 Small nucleolar RNA U3
AAUAGUAUCCUUUCAGGGAUGAUUUCUGUAGUUCAUCACUGGAGAAGUUUCUCUGGAUGUGCAGAAACCAUGAAGAGAGGAGCAGCAUCCUCCUGAGUGUGAAGCUGGGUCCGCGUGUUGCUUCGCUGCAACUGCCGUUUGCCACUGAUGAUUGUCUUUCUCUUCCUUUGGGAGAGUAAGAGGGAAGUUUUGCUCUUA